rnacentral:rRNA from 1 species
ACGUGGUAUCCUGUCUGAAUAUGGGGGGACCAUCCUCCAAGGCUAAAUACUCCUGACUGACCGAUAGUGAACCAGUACCGUGAGGGAAAGGCGAAAAGAACCCCGGCGAGGGGAGUGAAAAAGAACCUGAAACCGUGUACGUACAAGCAGUGGGAGCCCCACCACUAAGCCAGUGGUGAACUCCACAUACGCAUCCUUUGCUGAAGGCAAUGGUUAACGGAGCGAAAGCGACGUUCAACCGCAAAACAAGCAGAGGGGGCUUAGUGGUGGGGUGACUGCGUACCUUUUGUAUAAUGGGUCAGCGACUUAUAUUCUGUAGCAAGGUUAACCGUAUAGGGGAGCCGGAGGGAAACCGAGUCUUAAUUGGGCGUUAAGUUGCAGGGUAUAGACCCGAAACCCGGUGAUCUAGCCAUGGGCAGGUUGAAGGUUGGGUAACACUAACUGGAGGACCGAACCGACUAAUGUUGAAAAAUUAGCGGAUGACCUGUGGCUGGGGGUGAAAGGCCAAUCAAACCGGGAGAUAGCUGGUUCUCCCCGAAAGCUAUUUAGGUAGCGCCUCGUGAAUUCAUCUCCGGGGGUAGAGCACUGUUUCGGCUAGGGGGCCAUCCCGGCUUACCAACCCGAUGCAAACUGCGAAUACCGGAGAAUGUUAUCACGGGAGACACACGGCGGGUGCUAACGUCCGUCGUGAAGAGGGAAACAACCCAGACCGCCAGCUAAGGUCCCAAAGUCAUGGUUAAGUGGGAAACGAUGUGGGAAGGCCCAGACAGCCAGGAUGUUGGCUUAGAAGCAGCCAUCAUUUAAAGAAAGCGUAAUAGCUCACUGGUCGAGUCGGCCUGCGCGGAAGAUGUAACGGGGCUAAACCAU